rnacentral:sRNA from 1 species
AACAACAUAUUUGAGAUAAAAAGCAUAAACACAAUAAAUAGAGAAGGGGAAAGAAGGGAUCUCUUCACUGUAUAUAGAUCUGAAUGAAACUCUGAAGAAUAAUCGAUGAAUAGCUUAUGUCUCUCACAAUAGGGUUUUGCAAAACUUU